CAGACCGCCAUAAUAUCAAAGAAGAAGUCCUCGUAUGUAGUCUAACAAACGUUAGAAGAAGCUGGCGAGUGUUUAUUUGUCUUUACCAUAUAUUUGUUUUUAUAUAACAAAAUAUUGUUAAAUAGGAAGAAAUUAAUUAAGAUGUUUUGGAUUUAAAUUGCUAGCUAACGUUACUUGUUUACUUACAUCAGCCUAGCUAACGUUAGCCAGACAGUUUUGUUUAGCUAACGUUAGCUAGCUAAUUGUUUUUGUAGCUUUCAGUUUGUAUGUAACGUUAGCUUGCACUUCAAUGGCAUCUCUCGAGGAGGAUUAAUUUAAUCUUUCCAACCAGGCGAAGUACAAUGGCACCACUGAUCUCGACAAGAGGCGCAACAUUCGUAGGGGGCAGAAAUUCACUAUUCAGGGCAAUCGCAUGUACCUACGGGGGAAGGAUGGCCAGCCACACAGGAGGGUGAUUUUCACUGAGGAGAAGGAACCCAUGCAGACCGAGAUGCAUGUUGGCCAUUUCGGAGUGAAGCGCAUGAUUGCCAAAAUCAACACACACUUUUUGCAUGGGAUUGUCAAGGAUGUGGACAGCUGGGCAUGUGAAAUAAGUCUGUUUAUCGAUCACAUUCUAUUAUAUCUAAAAUUAUUAUGAUUUCAAUGAAUGUCAUAUCAGAGAGAACACAAUGUUUCAAUUUGUCACCUUCUGCUUCAGUGAGUACCAGUCUAGCCUGAUGGCGACCGAUUAUUUUACCAAGUGGGUGGAGGCAAUAGCCAUCAAGGUCUGUAAAGGAAGAGAAUGUACUUAACUCUAAAUUCCCUUCUGUAACCCAUUUAAAAAGGCUGCUUGGAACCCAAAAUGUAUUUUCUUUUGUAUGAUACCCAUCAAGGACCAGACUGGCGAGGCCACCUCCAAGGCGAUGAUGUCUUCAACACCCAUGGUUCUCCUGAGGUCAUCUUGAGUGACCGAGGUCGUGUACUCUGGAACAAGGUUUGGAUGAACGGACCAACCACACCCUCAAGACUGCCAUGGGCAAGGCCUUGACGGGUUCCAGGAAUGGUGGCAGAACAACCUGAAGGUAAUUAUCUUUGCACCCAACAUUAGCAUCUAAGCCUCCAGAGUACUCACCUUUUUGUCUACUGUACGGACGGGAUCCGCAGCUGUUUACUGAGGUAAACAAUGCAUUUGUAUAUGAAAGUAUUGCCUAUACUGUAGUAUAAAAAAAUGUGUGAUUGACUUAGUGUUUUUCUAUUGCUUUUUGUAUAACGUACUUUUGAGAUCACUGAUACUCCACCUGAUGUGGUGGAAGUUGUCGAACCAGAUCAGAACGCCUUCAAGGACCACCUUCAGGCACGGACUGAGAAGGAUGUGGAGGUUUUUGACCAGGUCAAAAUGAUUGUCCGCUGUUCAUUUAUUUUCUGGCCUUCCAAGAGCUAUAUAAGAGAUGUAUUUGUAAUAAUAUGAAAUAGAAUUGCAUUUAUUUCUAUUAUCAGUCAAGGUGAGACUGAACAUGGACAAGGCAUAUGAGAAAAAGGAGAGCCACCGGAGGAGAAGCAAGGGGACCAAGUGCUUCGACAUCCGGGCAAAUUACUUGGCUUGGAAGAAGGACGAAAGGAAGGUGAGACCUGGGAAAGCUUGGUGCUCUUUCGCUCCUAGCUGGGCUCACCAUCCGUUAAGGUGAAUAUAAAAUCUCAGAUGGUAACUAUUUCCAAUUACCUUCUCGUGGUGGGUGGCAUCACCAUGCUGUCAGCAGUACCAACACUGGCCCAGUGGUUUCUCCAAAUAGUCAAUCUCAAGGCUAACCACUGGGUCACGCUAAGUAACCACCACUUCCAGGUAUGUACCGUUAAGGUGUAGGACUCCAGUGGUCAUGACACCACCCUGGAGUUUCUCUCACAACUCAUCUCUAUCUUUUCCAGGGACCAUUUACCAAUGAAAUAUCAACAUUUAUGUAUUUAAAUCUAAAGUAUUGCUAGAUUGUUUUUCACAGCUGUUUCAUAAGGUGUUUGUUAUUGUAAAUUGUAAUGUAUCCCUUAAUGGUAUUUGUUAGUUCCACAUUAAUUGUUGUAUCUUAAGAUGUACAAUAGAUAUAUAGUCAACCACAAGGGUGUACUAAUGAGUUUCUUUUUAUCAUAAUAGAGGACUAAUAUUAUUUCAGUGUAGAUAAGGGAAGGCCUGUUUAAAAUGAAAACAUGCCAGCCAGACAAGCCAGUGUAUGAAUGAAAUGUAUUUGCAUAUGAAUAGGGUGUAAAUGAGCUGGCUUUGUGAUCUGUAAGGUAAGUAACAAUGUGGUAAUUGGUAACAAAUAUGAAGUGGGGGAAAGUCAGGAUCCUAGUCAGGCUUUUGUUUGUCAAAUCCUGAUUAAAUAUAUGUCUUCAUGUUUUUUAAAUGUUUUAUUUAAAUGUGUAUCAAAUCUGUAAGCAAUUGUGGCCUAAAUCAAUGACUAACAGCUGAAAUGUUCAGGAUCUGUGAUCAAGACAGGCUGGGGUGUUUUCGGUUCCGUUUAGUCUAAGGAUAUGCGUAAGGAUGCAACUGCGCUGAAAUUAAUAGCAUGAUUCAAUGGGAUUCUCCUGAAUAAUAAAGGUUUUUAUCUGUUAAGCUGUUUUGUCUAUGUUGCUUUUCAGGAGCUUCUGUAUCAUGUUUUCUAUUUGUAUGGAAAACAUGAUACCUGUUUUGACAUUGUUUUAUUAGGUCAUCGAGCUUGUUGCUAGUGAUGUAGUCCUCAAUGGUAUGUUUGAUAUUUUCCCCUCUUGUGAACAACAGCAUGGUGUGGUCCCAAACUGCUUCAGUACAGAGUGUAUCCAAUGCCUGUCUUCUUCCUGUUAUUUUCCAAAGAUUAGACUUCCUGCAACCUACUUUAAUAACUAUACUGAACAAAAAUAUAAUUGCAACAAGUGUUGCUUCAUGAGCUGAAAUACAAGAUCCCAUGUGAUGUUCCAUAGCACACAAAAAACAUUCUCCAAUUUUGUGCACAAAUUUGUUUACAUCCUUGUUAGUGAGCAUUGCUCCUUUGCCAAGAUAAUCCAUCCACCUGACAGAUGUGGCAUAUCAAGAAGCUGAUUAAACAGCAUGAUCAUUACACAGGUGCACCUUGUGCUGGGGACAAUAAUAGACCACUCUGAAAUGUGCAGUUUUGUAACACAACACAAUGCCACAGAAGUUUUGAGGGAGCGUGCAAUUGGCAUGCUGACUGCAGGAAUGUCCACCAGAGCUGUUGCCAGAUAAUUAAAUGUUCAUUUCUCUACUAUAAGCUGCCUCCAGUGUUGUUUUAGAGAAUUUGGCAGUGCUUCCAACCGGCCUUACAACCGCAGACCAUGUGUAACCACGCCAACCCAGGACCUCCACAUCCAGCUUCUUCACCUGUGGGAUCAUCUGAGACGAGCCACCCGGACAGCUGAUGAAACAGGAGUAUUUCUGUCUGUAAUAAAGACCUUUUGUGGGGAAAAGGGUGGGCCUCCCAGGCCCACCCAUGAUUGCGCCCCUGCACAAUCAUGUAAAUCCAUUGAUUAUGGCAUCAUUUUUUAAUUUAAAUUGACUAAUUUCCUUAUAUGAACUGUGACUCAGUAAAAUUGUUGAAAUUGUUGCAUGUUGUGUUUAUAUUUUUGUUCAGUAUAGAAGGAUGACGUGAGGUCCAGUGUUAAAUAAGCUUUGCACACAAUGUACAGUUUCCUCUUUUAUAUGAUUGUCACUAUUUAAAUGUCUAAAAGAGCCUGGUGUGCGAAGCAAUGUGAUGUGCCAAUUACAAUCUAUCCUCACAUAUGUCUUUUAAAAUGAUGUCCACCGUGUAAACUUAUUUAGUCCUAGGAUGAUGUUUCCAACUGAAUUCUUUCCAUAACCUCCGAUCAGAACAAGUUUUAUGUCUUUUAUGAUGACAUCUGACAGAGAAAUAGCAUCAUUAAUGGACAGAAUACAAAUAUCCCUUAGUUAUAUGAAUAAAGCUCUGCAACAAAAUCA